rnacentral:rRNA from 1 species
UACGUAGGGGGCAAGCGUUAUCCGGAUUUACUGGGUGUAAAGGGAGCGUAGACGGCAUAGCAAGUCUGAAGUGAAAGCCCGUGGCUCAACCGCGGAACUGCUCUGGAAACUGUUAAGCUGGAGUACUGGAGAGGCAAGCGGAAUUCCUAGUGUAGCGGUGAAAUGCGUAGAUAUUAGGAGGAACACCAGUGGCGAAGGCGGCUUGCUGGACAGAGACUGACGUUGAGGCUCGAAAGCGUGGGGAGCAAACAGG